rnacentral:rRNA from 1 species
GUCGAGCGAGGUUACUGUUUUGGAUCCCUUCGGGGUGAAGAAGCUUUAACCUAGCGGCGGACGGGUGAGUAACGCGUGGGUAACCUACCCCAAAGUCCGGGAUAACAGCGGGAAACCGCUGCUAAUACCGGAUGCCUUUACCUUGGGGCAUCUUGAGGUAAAGAAAGGUAACGCUUUGGGAUGGGCCCGCGUCCCAUUAGCUAGUUGGUGAGGUAACGGCUCACCAAGGCGACGAUGGGUAGCCGGCCUGAGAGGGUGGACGGCCACACUGGGACUGAGACACGGCCCAGACUCCUACGGGAGGCAACAGUAGGGAAUAUUGCGCAAUGGACGGAAGUCUGACGCAGCGACACCGCGUGAGCGAUGAAGGUCUUCGGAUCGUAAAGCUCUGUCCUUGGGGAAGAAGGUCUUCGGACUUGACGGUACCCAAGAAGAAAGCCCCGGCUAACUACGUGCCAGCAGCCGCGGUAAUACGUAGGGGGCGAGCGUUGUCCGGAAUUACUGGGCGUAAAGGGUGCGUAGGCGGUCCUUUAAGUCGGAUGUGAAAGCCCGCGGCUUAACCGCGGAAUGGCAUUCGAAACUGGAGGGCUUGAGUGUCGGAGAGGGUAGUGGAAUUCCCAGUGUAGCGGUGAAAUGCGUAGAUAUUG